GACGAACCGAGCGAACGUUGUUCGGAAUCACUGGGCUUAAAGGGCGCGUAGGCGGGCAUUCAAGUCCGUGGUGAAAUCCGGCAGCUCAACUGUCGAACUGCCGCGGAUACUGGGUGUCUCGAGGGAGGUAGGGGCGCGCGGAACUAUUGGUGGAGCGGUGAAAUGCGUUGAUAUCAAUAGGAACUCCGGUGGCGAAGGCGGCACGCUGGACCUUUUCUGACGCUGAGGCGCGAAAGCCAGGGGAGCAAACGGG
rnacentral:rRNA from 1 species